AUUGAACGCUGGCGGAAUGCUUUACACAUGCAAGUCGAACGGCAGCACGGACUUCGGUCUGGUGGCGAGUGGCGAACGGGUGAGUAACAUAUCGGAACGUAUCCAAUAAUGGGGGAUAACGAGUCGAAAGAUUCGCUAAUACCGCAUACGCCCUACGGGGGAAAGCUGGGGACCUUCGGGCCUGGCGUUAAUGGAGCGGCCGAUAUCUGAUUAGAUAGUUGGUGAGGUAAAGGCCCACCAAGGCGACGAUCAGUAGCUGGUCUGAGAGGACGACCAGCCACACUGGAACUGAGACACGGUCCAGACUCCUACGGGAGGCAGCAGUGGGGAAUUUUGGACAAUGGGCGCGAGCCUGAUCCAGCCAUUCCGCGUGAGUGAAGAAGGCCUUCGGGUUGUAAAGCUCUUUCGCAAGGGAAGAAAACUUAGCCACUAACAUUGGUUGAGGUUGACGGUACCUUGAUAAGAAGCACCGGCUAACUACGUGCCAGCCGCCGCCGUAA
rnacentral:rRNA from 1 species